AAAUUCAUAUGCAUUCAGCAGGAGAACAGGAAAGCACAGUCGACUCUGCGAUGCCAUCUGGAUCAGGUAUCGAAGUGAGUGGCGAGACAGGGCUUAAUAUUCUCAGAACAAUUCUGAGUAAACAAUCAAACCUUGAGGACGCAGACAUUGCAGCUGCAAUGCCGAAAAUCAGCUUCUCUCAAGAAUGGCACCAAAGUACUUUCAAGAAAUAGAUCAGUUUGUGGAGAACCACUUACCCUCGCUGCCACCAGAGGGAUCUCAAGUAAAGCAGAUGCAGGACUUUCUAAAGAGCGCACAGAGUAUUAUAUGCAAUGAGGUGCGCAGAUUAACACCUUUACUGAAAAAUGCUGGACUGCUAGUUCAUCUGAAGGACAGUUACAGCCGUCACCUCUUUACCAACCUGGACCUGCUACUAAACAGAGAUCUGUCUGUAAAACAGAUCUUCUGCCUUAUUAUGUGGGAAAAAGAUGUUUUCUUCAGUCCAGACUCAAAACUGAGUGUGUACGACCCUUCGCUGCUGACAGGAAGGUUUGAGAGAGCAAAGCAGAAACUGCUUCAAGUACUUCAGGAUGACAUCUCCAAGACUCUACAGAACAUCCUACACUAUGAUGAGAAACAUGGACAUAAUGAGGACUCAAUGGAUGAAGAAACUUUCAUCAGAGUUUACUUAGAUGUCACUCAGUGCCUGAAUUAUGCUAUUUUUGAUGCUAAAAAAGUUGGUCCGACUUUGAUGCAUGCAGUACAAAUACUCUGUAGUGGAGAGCUGCAUGGUUUUGUUCAGAAGUAUGUGGAUGCUGAGAACAAACGUCUAAAAAAAACAAACGUUUACAGAGACAAACUCUGUGUAUCUGUUUCGGAUAAUCAACACCAGCAUGCAACUCAGGCCAAUUUAGAAGGUUAUUUUGAGAAAAGAGAUGGGCAUAUUGAUAUCCUGAUGGAGGCAAUCCAAAGGCAGUGUGCAUCUCUGCCUGAGACUGCUUCAGAGAUCAAAACGGUCAUUGUGAAAAUAGCUUACGACAGUGUUUCCAAAGUGUACCUGGAAUGCUUGAUGAAGACAAAUGUCAGAAAGCUAGAGAUGCUUUGGGGAAAUGCUGAGGAAAAGAUAAAAGAGGAUGUUCAACAUUUUCACCAAAUAUUCUCUGACCUGAAUGGCAUUGCUGCCCAGGAGAGCCAGCUCCUUCAGAGAAUGAGUGUUUUGCUUUACAGUGAUGUAAAAACGAAGGACGUUACCAAUGCUUUGUUCAAAGACUUCCCUCAGGAGAGUGAGCAGUAUGUACCUGGUCUGCUGCGCUGGAAGGGUGUGUUAUUGGAGCGACAGGUGAAGGAAGUGCUGGAUGAGAUUCAGGAACCUUGCCAAAAUCCAGAUCCUACACAUGUCACCUUUGUUCUUCUGAAGGGAUUUUUUUGUUGUAAAUAGCUUGAGGUCAGAGGUCAGUAAAAGUAAGCUAUGGAGAAUGUUCUCUGAACAUUGUGCUAUUUAUAUUUUCAAGCAUUCAGAUCUGAUGUUAAUUUUUAAAAUAUGUCCUAAAUCUUUUUUGUUCACACCUGUCUAAAACAAACUGUUGGUGUUCCGAACAAAGUGAAAAUACAGGUGAAUUGGAAAUAAUUACUCUGUAAAGACUGACAUUUGAAAUAAUAGUUAGAACAAUUUUUUUUUUUUUUAAUGGGACAGUUUAUUAAAAAAUGUAUAUGCCAACUUACAUAAAAUGCAUUUAAAUAUUAGUUGUCACUCUGUAUCUUCCAAUAGUAUGUCUUACUAAAAUGAUAUUUAAAUGCUUAGUUUUAUUAUCAAAGCUCUGUAGUUUUUAUUGUUGGGCAAAACAUAUAAUGCAAUGCAAUGCAAUAAUUGUUGAGAAAUGAACAAAUAAAUAUUUCUAGAAAGCCUUAUGUGUAAUAUUC
ensembl:lncRNA